GUGGACGCCAGUCUGCAUGGAGCCGGCCUUGAAAUACCACCCUUUAAUGUUUGAUGUUCUAACGUGGACCCGUAAUCCGGGUUGCGGACAGUGUCUGGUGGGUAGUUUGACUGGGGCGGUCUCCUCCUAAAGAGUAACGGAGGAGCACGAAGGUUGGCUAAUCCUGGUCGGACAUCAGGAGGUUAGUGCAAUGGCAUAAGCCAGCUUGACUGCGAGCGUGACGGCGCGAGCAGGUGCGAAAGCAGGUCAUAGUGAUCCGGUGGUUCUGAAUGGAAGGGCCAUCGCUCAACGGAUAAAAGGUACUCCGGGGAUAACAGGCUGAUACCGCCCAAGAGUUCAUAUCGACGGCGGUGUUUGGCACCUCGAUGUCGGCUCAUCACAUCCUGGGGCUGAAGUAGGUCCCAAGGGUAUGGCUGUUCGCCAUUUAAAGUGGUACGCGAGCUGGGUUUAGAACGUCGUGAGACAGUUCGGUCCCUAUCUGCCGUGGGCGCUGGAGAACUGAGGGGGGCUGCUCCUAGUACGAGAGGACCGGAGUGGACGCAUCACUGGUGUUCGGGUUGUCAUGCCAAUGGCACUGCCCGGUAGCUAAAUGCGGAAGAGAUAAGUGCUGAAAGCAUCUAAGCACGAAACUUGCCCCGAGA
rnacentral:rRNA from 1 species